GCCGAAGUGGCGGAAUUGGCAGACGCGCCGGACUCAAAAUCCGGUUCCCCUUAAAGGAGUAUCGGUUCGACCCCGAUCUUCGGCA
rnacentral:tRNA from 1 species